rnacentral:rRNA from 1 species
CAUAGGCAGUGACUUUAUUAAAGGAAUCUUCCGGAGCUGUAGCGAAAACAAAUCAUUAGAGAGCAAUUGCAACUGCUUAUGGACCCAAACCUAGGUGAUCUAUCCAUGAUCAGCAUAAAGCUUGAGUGAAACUAAGUGGAGGUCCCAACCGACUAAUGUUGAAGAAUCAUCGGAUGAGUUGUGGUUAAGGGUGAAUUGCCACUCGACCUAGAGUUAGCUGG